AACCGUCCCGGCCUAGUCAUUGCCGGAUCUGGCCGCACCGGUCGUCGGUGCUGCUGGAUCUGGCCGCUCCGGGCCUCAUCACCACCACCUCGAGUGUGCACCUCUCCACCGCCACUUUCCCAUCGUCUUCACAUCCGCCUCGCCCAUAUCCAGAGUAUUCGUGUGUCUCCCGAGGAGCCCGACCCGGGCGGCCUCUCCGUGGACUCCCUCCACCAUAGCUAGGGCAGCGCCACUGCGUCCAGAACAUGGUUCAACCUCCAGAGCGCUUGUGGCAAGCACCAGAUUGUGAGUUCGAGUAGGUCGACCGCGAGCUGCAUCGACAUCGACCGAUUCUCUUCUUCUUUGGCGGUCUGCACCUUCCGUGCGGGCUGUGGAGGACGGAUGACGCGGUGCUGUUAGGGCGCUGACAGGCAGCGGUUCUACGUCCCCUCUCCGAGCAGCUCUUUCAUGGGACAGGCAAUUGAAGGUAUGGACUACAACAGUACAGACUGUUAUAUAUCUGGAAGGCGAAAUUUUGGGGCGGUACCUGGUUAUUGAAUGACAGACAGUUAUAUAAGAGAGAAGAUUCCUAGGUUUGCCAUGACAGACAAGAUGGUGGCAAGGCCUUGCUCGUUUUAGAGGACAUGGGAUACAUACAGGAAGCAGCUGAAAUUGAUGUUGGCAAGUCUGGUAUUUAGAAGAAAUCUCAUGAAGUCAUUCAACAAACGUUUGCGAACAAGCAAUUUGUCUUCCUGGACAUGGCUUCAGCUGUGCAUCAAAGCUCAAACCAUUUGUUUAGCUUAGUUUGAAGAAAAUAAAGUCUUAUUGUCUUGGGUAAAUUCUGUUUAUUGAUGUGGCCAGAUGCUACUGAACGCAUGUAUGUCUUUUGUCACUUCUGAUGUUACUGAACGCAUGUAUGUCUUGUGUAAAUUCUGUUUAUCGAUGCAGCUGGAUGCUACUGAACGCAUGUAUGAUUGUUGAAGUACUGAUAUAUACGAAGUCAUUAUGUGUUUGA